UACGUAGGGGGCAAGCGUUGUCCGGAAUCAUUGGGCGUAAAGCGCGUGUAGGCGGCUCAACAAGUCCGCUGUGAAAGUCCAGGGCUCAACCCUGGGAUGCCGGUGGAUACUGUCGAGCUUGAGUCCGGAAGAGGCGAGUGGAAUUCCUGGUGUAGCGGUGAAAUGCGCAGAUAUCAGGAGGAACACCAAUGGCGAAGGCAGCUCGCUGGGACGGGACUGACGCUGAGACGCGAAAGCGUGGGGAGCAAACAGG
rnacentral:rRNA from 1 species